rfam:Haemonchus contortus, ISE/inbred ISE, WGS project CAVP01000000 data, contig: Hcontortus_46727
UUUAUGCGGCAGCAUAGGACCGAAUUGUGGGAGAACUUCUAUGAUUCUACCCCUUUUCAUUUUUAUGCUGCUCUGGAG